rnacentral:rRNA from 1 species
UACGGGGGGGGCAAGCGUUGUUCGGAAUUACUGGGCGUAAAGGGCUCGUAGGCGGACAACUAAGUCGGAUGUGAAAUCCCCAGGCUUAACCUGGGAACUGCAUCCGAUACUGGAUGGCUUGAAUCCGGGAGAGGGAUGCAGAAUUCCAGGUGUAGCGGUGAAAUGCGUAGAUAUCUGGAGGAAUACCGGUGGCGAAGGCGGCAUCCUGGACCGGCAUUGACGCUGAGGAGCGAAAGCUAGGGGAGCAAACGGG